GACCGCGUAGCUCAGUUGGUAGAGCGUUGGGCUAGUAUUCCACAGUCACAGGUGCGAUUCCUACCGUGGUCA
rnacentral:tRNA from 1 species